UACGUAGGGUGCAAGCGUUUGUCCGGAAUUAUUGGGCGUAAAGAGCUCGUAGGCGGUCUGUCGCGUCGGCUGUGAAAACCCGAGGCUCAACCUCGGGCCUGCAGUCGAUACGGGCAAACUGGAGUGUUGCAGGGGAGACUGGAAUUCCUGGUGUAGCGGUGAAAUGCGCAGAUAUCAGGAGGAACACCGGUGGCGAAGGCGGGUCUCUGGGCCGGAACUGACGCUGAGGAGCGAAAGCGUGGGGAGCGAACAGG
rnacentral:rRNA from 1 species